rnacentral:piRNA from 1 species
UCCUUGCUGCCCAGUGGAAGAGGUU